UGCCCAAGAGAUCGGGAUAACACCUGGAAACAGAUGCUAAUACCGGAUAACAACAGAUGAUGCCUAUCAACUGUUUAAAAGAUGGUUCUGCUAUCACUCUUGGAUGGACCUGCGGUGCAUUAGCUAGUUGGUAGGGUAACGGCCUACCAAGGCGAUGAUGCAUAGCCGAGUUGAGAGACUGAUCGGCCACAUUGGGACUGAGACACGGCCCAAACUCCUACGGGAGGGGU
rnacentral:rRNA from 1 species